GAUAGCUACUAUGUGACCAGAAGAGCCACAGGCAAACUCCUUUGUGACAAGCAGCAGUCUGAAAGGUCAUCAACUCCAGAGCCAAGUAAGAGUCAGUGAAGCCAGCUCAAUCCUUCAAUGAACUUGGCUGCCACAAACCACUCCCACCCCCCAGGAUUCAGGAGCUGCUCUAUGUAACACCAUGGAACAUUUAGUCAGACUCCUAUUCAUCCUUCAAGACCCCAGGUGGACCUCACCUCACUGCCGAGUAGCCUCAAAGUCUCUGAGGUGCCCCACUCAGCAUCACAGCUCUGUGCUCUGCGGAACCUAGUGGGGGGGGGGGGUUGCUAGCACUGCUCAUCCCACCCAAGCCCUUUGUCAAGCUCCCCUGACUGUGGCACUCCCUGAGGCCACAAACUAAGUCAAAGUCAGAGUGAUCAGUGGCUUCGGAAUAAACGUUUGUUGAAUAAAAACUGAAUCAGAGGGAA